AUACUUACCUGGCAGGGGAGAUACCAUGAUCACAAAGGUGGUUUUCCCAGAACAGGCUUAUCCAUUGAACUCUGGAUGUGCUGACCCCUGCGAUUUCCCCAAAUGUGGGAAACUCGACUGCAUAAUUUGUGGUAGUGGGGGGACUGCGUUCGCUCUCUCCCCUU
rnacentral:snRNA from 1 species